AUAGAAGGAUUCGAUGAUGAUGCAGGAAGGCUCAUAAUAAAACUAGCUCUUGGUGGAAAUAUAAUAUCUGUAAAUGAAUUUAUGGUACAGCCAGUGAUUAAAUCAGAAUAUUCUAAGAACUCAAAAGUUCAAAGUUAAUACGAAGUGUUAGUUUUUCAUUAAGGGACUUUUAAGAAAAUAAAUUUGAAUUGACAUAUACAUAUAAAUACAUAAUCAGACACGUAGAAAAACUAAUUCAAGAGUACCUAUACAAAAAAGUAUGAGGAAUAUAAGGACAAGGAAUCCAAGGGACUC
rnacentral:lncRNA from 1 species